UACGGAGGGGGCUAGCGUUGUUCGGAAUUACUGGGCGUAAAGGGCGCGUAGGCGGACAGUUUAGUCAGAGGUGAAAGCCCAGGGCUCAACCUUGGAAUUGCCUUUGAUACUGGCUGUCUUGAGUACGGGAGAGGUGAGUGGAACUCCGAGUGUAGAGGUGAAAUUCGUAGAUAUUCGGAAGAACACCAGUGGCGAAGGCGACUCACUGGCCCGUUACUGACGCUGAGGCGCGAAAGCGUGGGGAGCAAACAGG
rnacentral:rRNA from 1 species